rnacentral:ncRNA from 1 species
UUGAGCCGUAUGCAGGGAAACUUACACUUACGGUUCUUAGGGGUGGGCGGUCAGUAAUGACUGCUCCUUACCCGAC